rfam:Brassica oleracea var. oleracea cultivar TO1000 chromosome C6, whole genome shotgun sequence
GGAAUAUAAGAAACUGUAUCUUAACUUUUAACUAAAAAACCUAAGAACCGACUCUUAAAUAAGAGUUUUAAGAGACGGUUCUUAGUUUUUUUAGUUAAAAGUUAAGAGACGGAUUCUUAUAUUCC